rnacentral:rRNA from 1 species
GCAUCGAUGAGAACGCAGCGAAUUGCGAUAAGUAAUGUGAAUUGCAGAUACUCGUGAAUCAUUGAAUUUUUGAACGCACAUUGCGCCCUUGAGCAUUCUCAGGGGCAUGCCUGUUUGAGCGUCAUUUCCUUCUCAAAAGAUAAUUUAUUAUUUUUUGGUUGUGGGCGAUACUCAGGGUUAGCUUGAAAUUGGAGACUGUUUCAGUCUUUUUUAAUUCAACACUUAGCUUCUUUGGAGACGCUGUUCUCGCUGUGAUGUAUUUAUGGAUUUAUUCGUUUUACUUUACAAGGGAAAUGGUAACGUACCUUAGGCAAAGGGUUGCUUUUAAUAUUCAUCAAGUUUGACCUCAAGUCAGGUAGGAUUACCCGCUGAACUUAAGCAUAUCAAUAAGCGGAGGA